rnacentral:tRNA from 1 species
GGGGUUAUGGCUCAGAGGUAGAGCACUCGCCUUGUGCGUGUGAGGCCCUGGGUUCGAUCCUCAGCACCA